CCUCCCCACAGAUGGCGUGAGGAACGCCGCCAUCCCAACCUCCCCGCCGCCGCAAGUUCUACCUCAUCCGCCUCCGCCGCUGCUGACAUUUCCUCGCGCCGACGGAGGCCAAGGGGCGGACCUCGUGUCCACCGGAUUCUCGGCCCUGGCCACCGUACGGCUGUUGGAGAGCUCUACAGUGCGCUAUUCUCCUCCCGUGAGAGCAAGCGUCGAGGUAGGAAGUCCUGCUCCGGCGGGUUGGCCGUGCCCCGAGUCUCCCGGAGUGGCCGGCGCACCUUCCCAGCUCAACCUCCGUGACCGAAAUUCCUGCCGGAGAAGCCUGCUGCCAGGCAGAUCGCCUGCAUCCUACCGUUUCCGCGCUUCUCCAACGCCCCCGCAUCUCCACAAGCAAGUACUCACAAAGUUUAUGGAAGAAGCUGGGUAGACAAGGGAUUGCGCCAUAUCAAUGGACGAUUUUAUGGCGCUGGAUCACUACACACUCAAAUGGCUCAGAUCCAUUUAAUGGUCAUGUAGGAGCAUUAGAUCCAUAUGGACCUGAAGUUGUGCAGCUCCGUUGAAAGUUUGGUCUCUGGAAUAGUAGUGAUGAAGUGGGGAUUUUUCGAGUAAGGAAGGAAGACCACCAACUGGGAGAAGGUCAUGUCAAGGUCAGAAAGCAGUAGAACCUGAAGACAGUGAGCUGCCGGUGGGGAGUCUGUCGACGCGCUAAGUGACGUGCAGUGCGGCUACCCCGAAUAUGAAGAAAGUGUAGAAACUGGCGGCGCAAGGAGUACUGCGGCUACCCCGAAUAUAUUGGUUUAAAAAUUGUGAACCUUCCAGGGGGCCGAUUGUCUGAAGAAACCUGAAGAAAGACGUGGAGUUCAUUUGGCAUCCGUCUAGUAGCGUACAUGGCGUUGAUUCCCCUGCCAGAGCAUGCAGUUCGGCCUAGUCCCCGGCGUGCCGGCAGCCUGGAUUCUGUGUCGUGGACGGCGUCCUUGAUUCCCUUGCGUGGAGGGCGGAGGGCAUGCUCGGAAGCGAUUGGUCAGCAGUGUGACGACGGCGAGAGGACUGUGUCGUGGACUGCGAUAGUGCAGCAAGGAGACGGUGGCGAGAGGAAGAAGAUUUGGAAGAGGAGAUGUGGACGCUGCUGGGCGACCACGGCGAGAGGAAGGCGUGCUGGACGUCGACUGCUGCUGGGCGACAAUGGCGACAGACGUGCUGGGCGGAAGUCGGCGUUGGCGGGGAAUCGAUGGGGCGGCAGGCUGGCGAGGGCGAGAGGACGGCGCGGUGGAUGGGAGACGGCGAGAAGUCCUGCUGCGGGCGUGCAGAACGGUUAGUUCAGCACAAUCUUAUUUGUUCGUGGAUCAAUGGAGAUGGUUGUGGUCCGCUGGUCCGCUCCCAUCAAAGAUGUGAGCGAUUUCAGGCGUUGGAUAUAUGGUUUGAAAGGCUGAGAUUUGUUGGAUGGGACGCUCUCGCCCUUUUAAAGUA